UACGGAAGGGGCAAGCGUUGUUCGGAAUCAUUGGGCGUAAAGGGCGCGUAGGUGGUUCUGUAUGUCUACUGUGAAAGCGUACGGCUCAACCGUAUUUUGUCGGUGGAAACUGCAGGACUUGAGGCUGGGAGGGGCUGGUGGAAUUCCCUGUGUAGCGGUGAAAUGCGUAGAGAUGGGGGAGAACACUCGUGGCGAAGGCGGCCAGCUAGACCAGUUCUGACACUGAGGCGCGACAGCGUGGGGAGCAAACAGG
rnacentral:rRNA from 1 species